rnacentral:lncRNA from 1 species
UUUCAUCCAAUAUGGUACUUUUAACUUACACUUGACAAAUCAACAUUCUCCCCCUUGAACGUGAGACUCUCUGCGUUUUUGAUUCAACACUAGGAUCCACUCUCACUCCCCCACCAUCUUGAACUAGGCUUUGAUACUGUUGUUGGGAAUUCCUGGGGAGCCUUAAACACUAAGGUCGAUCAAUACAUCGAGCUAGAGCAAUCACAUAUGUUAGUUUUGAACACCAGAUUUUCACC